GGCUGGUGCGUAGGUCGAAUUUUUUUUGUUUUCUGUCGCGUUCCCCUUCAGUGGCAUCAAGAGCCGUGCUAUAAGGACUGAGACUGCACUUGAUUUUGACUCCUUAAGGAGAUGUAUAGCUCUGUAUCAGUGUACUUUUGUCUCCAGUACUAGUCAAAAGAGAACUAAACUUAAUCUUUGACAUGCCUCUCCUAAUUUAGCUACCCAUGAUGUUAAGCGUCUGAAGCCCACAAGCAUUUUCAGUACGCCCAGAACUUGAUAAAAGCAGAUACAUGGUAAACUUUAGUUUUUUUUUACUAUAUUCUGACAUACUAAGCUGGGUAAAAUCAACCUGCUCCUACUUUGCAAACAUACAACACCAUCUAUCGAGCCUUAAUUCUGAAAUAGUAGUAAACUUUCUGGUUUCUAAACUAUGCCAGUAGCUCCGGUAAUCAUAUAUUUUUGCUGUUUUUUAUUUUGAACAUUCUGGUCUUGUUUUUCUUGGCUUGCUGGCUGCUUCUCCCUGACUGUGACCCAGCUGCAUCAUGCAUGUUGAUUUCUUUGCUUGUUAGAUCCCAAUGCGUGAGAUCUUCAUUUUCUAUUUAUACAUUCUGACAUGAACUUCUUGUUGGCACUGCAGCCUGCUUAUGAGUUAUGACUGUUUUACACAAUCUAGUUUCUUUUUGUCUACCACCAAUGCGAAGCCAACUUGUAACAGCUAAAUCAAUCAGUUACGUUACAAGUACUCCUCCAUCCAUAUGCUUACUCAUAGUGCAAGCAAGAGUAAAUGCUUUCCAUUAAUUUCACUUUAACAAUUAGUUAUACACGACAUUAGUGCAUCCCGUGCUUGCAUCCUAACUUAUCAACUUGAUUAUAUUCAUGUAAGCUCCAGGAAGGGGCUUUGAAAGAUGAAGAGGAAGCCACUCUUGCUAUGUCCAAAGCAAUGGAAAAAGACAAGUACAAUAAUCAGGAGCCAAGUCCCAUUGAGUUUUUUAAAGAGACCCAUACUAACAGCAUGAGCGAGCCGACACAUCUAGCUUAUAAUGCAAUGGAAAAGAAAAGGGAAACACAAUCAGAAGUGAGCAACCAGUGUUUGAUUCAAUGAUUGUGGCUGAAGUUCUAAAAACACCCACAACACCUACCUUUCCAGCAUGAGUUAUGCAUCAAGAUCCGGGAGAUUUGGGAACUCUAAUUCAUCAGCAAGUAUGUGAGUGAAAGAAUUGAGCAAAAGGAUAGAGAGGCGAGAGAUGCAAAUGACAGGCACUGAGAGGAGUUAGUGGUGAGACUUGAAGCACAAGCGAGAGCAUUUGAAGAGGUGCAGAGGAAGCAACACGAAGAAUUGGAAGGUGUGAAGAAGAUCGAGCAAGAGAAGAAUGAAGCCUGGCAAAAGAAGCAACAAGAGACGGAUAACCCGAUUGGUUUUCUCUUAAGGGCUCAAGCAACUCAGCAAGCAACUUAGCAGUCCUAAUCCUAACUUAAUGGUGGAUGAAGGCCAUCCUUUUGCGAUGGAAAGAUAGUUGUUGAAUCAUACAUUGCAAUCAUUAGGAUAACACAUGUGGUCUUUACUUAUCUAAAUAUUGCUUUUCAACUUGUCUAUUCUUCUGUCAAACUCGUGAGUCAGUGUUAAUUUUUACUACGAAACACAAG